AAACCAUGAUCAGGGCAAUCUCUCGUAUACUCCUUGAAUCAUUCCCACGCCUCGUAGAAUGACUCUAUGGGGCCUUGUUUAAAACUUUGGAUCUUAUUUCUCAGCU
rfam:Eutrema salsugineum unplaced genomic scaffold scaffold_4, whole genome shotgun sequence.